CAGCCGCCACGGUAAUACGUAGGGUGCGAGCGUUAAUCGGAAUUACUGGGCGUAAAGCGUGCGCAGGCGGUUGUGUAAGACAGGUGUGAAAUCCCCGGGCUUAACCUGGGAACUGCGCUUGUGACUGCACAGCUAGAGUAUGGCAGAGGGGGGUGGAAUUCCACGUGUAGCAGUGAAAUGCGUAGAGAUGUGGAGGAACACCGAUGGCGAAGGCAGCCCCCUGGGCCAAUACUGACGCUCAUGCACGAAAGCGUGGAGAGCAAACAGGAUUAGAUACCCGAGUAGUCCCUGUCUCUUAUAC
rnacentral:rRNA from 1 species